rnacentral:rRNA from 1 species
UACAGAGGUCUCAAGCGUUGUUCGGAUUCAUUGGGCGUAAAGGGUGCGUAGGUGGCGGGGUAAGUCAGGUGUGAAAUCUCGAGGCUCAACCUUGAAACUGCACUUGAUACUGCCUUGCUCGAGUACUGGAGAGGAGAUUGGAAUUUACGGUGUAGCAGUGAAAUGCGUAGAUAUCGUAAGGAAGACCAGUGGCGAAGGCGAAUCUCUGGACAGUUACUGACACUGAGGCACGAAGGCCAGGGGAGCAAACAGG